UACAGGUCCAAGAAACCAAAUGACCAAAGAAACUAGACUUUGUUUGCUUUCUUUGUAGCCGAUAAACAGCUUUUUGGGGUAGGGCGAGCAGAGCAUUUAAAGAGAGCAAUAAAAUUGAGUUUCUUGCUUCAUAAAGAGAAGGAAACCGAAGAUAUCAGAUUUUUCAGUAUCUGCUUCCGUUUGCCGUUUUGAUAUUGCAUGUGUCAUGUGAAGUUGAGGAGGUCCAGUUGAGGGUUAUAAAAGAAAGAAACUUCACUUUUUGAGCAAUACCCAUCUCAGAUUUCCUCAACAUGAGACCAAAGAUUUAUCUUUUUGGUGACUCUAUCACUGAAGAGUCCUUUGAUGAUGGAGGCUGGGGUGCUUCUCUUGUUCACCUUUUUUCUCGCACGGUUGAUGUGGUGCUGAGAGGGUACAGUGGGUACAAUACAAGAUGGGCUUUGAAGGUGGUGGAGAGGGUUUUUCCGCCAGUGGAGAGCGGAGGAGAUUGCGGUGCACCGCCAUUAGCUGUAACGGUGUUUUUUGGAGCUAAUGAUGCUUGCCUUCCGGAUAGAUGCUCUGCAUACCAGCACGUGCCUCUCCCAGAAUACAAGCAUAACCUUCACGCCAUUUUCUCAUUUUUCAAGGCUCGCUGGCCAAAUGCGAUUAUUCUUUUCAUCACUCCUCCUCCAAUUGAUGAAGCUGCACGCCUCCGGUAUCCUUAUGUUGAGAAUCUGCAAGGUCUGUCCGAGAGGACGAAUGAAGCUGCUGGUGCUUAUGCCAAGGCAUGUAUUGCUGUUGCAGAAGAAUGUGGGUGCCCUGUGGUAGACAUCUGGACCAAGAUGCAGCAAAAUCCUAACUGGAAAAAUGCUUAUCUAAGAGAUGGUUUGCACCUAACUCCGAGGGGAAACAAGAUCGUGUUCGAGGAAGUGUUCAAGAAGCUCAAGGAACGGGGCUUGAGCGUAGAGAUAUUGCCAGUUGAUCUCCCACUCAUAGCUGAUAUUGACCCUAAGGAUCCACUCAAGUCAUUUCAGGAAUAAGAUGAUUGCAUUUCAUUGUUAAUUGAGCAAUUAAAUGGCUACAAAAUUAUUGUAAAUAAAUGCCCAAGAGAGUGAUAUCUGGCUGCUGUUCUAAAAGCAAAUCUCUUUUGGUGAAAAAGAACAGUUUCUCUACUUAAUUAAAGACGGCGAUUAAUUACUCUCUCUUAAACUUCUUUGUCAGGCGAGUGGUUGUUUGAUAAUUGAAAGGGAUUAAUUGG
rnacentral:misc_RNA from 1 species